GACGAACGCUGGCGGCGUGCUUAACACAUGCAAGUCGAACGGAAAGGCCCUGCUUUUGUGGGGUGCUCGAGUGGCGAACGGGUGAGUAACACGUGAGUAACCUGCCCUUGACUUUGGGAUAACUUCAGGAAACUGGGGCUAAUACCGGAUAGGAGCUCCUGCUGCAUGGUGGGGGUUGGAAAGUUUCGGCGGUUGGGGAUGGACUCGCGGCUUAUCAGCUUGUUGGUGGGGUAGUGGCUUACCAAGGCUUUGACGGGUAGCCGGCCUGAGAGGGUGACCGGCCACAUUGGGACUGAGAUACGGCCCAGACUCCUACGGGAGGCAGCAGUGGGGAAUAUGACACAAUGGGCGGAAGCCUGAUGCAGCAACGCCGCGUGCGGGAUGACGGCCUUCGGGUGGGAAACCGCUUUCGCCUGUGACGAAGCGUGAGGGACGGGAAUGGGUAAAGAAGCACCGGCGAACUACGU
rnacentral:rRNA from 1 species